CCACCCUCAGGCCCGAUCUGUCAGGCCCGGCGUUGGGGCUUCUGUGGGCCUAAUUCUAGGCCCUACAGGCCCCCAAGACCAGUGGCGGGCUCGCCUGGACUCCGAGCGCAGUAAUUUUCUCUCGCUCAGGGGCCUCCGGGAGGGUUCCGGCCGUAAAACCCUUUUAAUUUCUUAAA
rnacentral:misc_RNA from 1 species